rnacentral:tRNA from 1 species
GGCUCUGUGGCGCAAUGGAUAGCGCAUUGGACUUUUAAUUCAAAGGUCGUGGGUUCGAGUCCCACCAGAGUCG